AAUCCUGAAGAGAUUUAGGAGUGCUCGCAAGAGAACCGGAACACAGGUGCUGCAUGGCUGUCGUCAGCUCGUGUCGUGAGAUGUUGGGUUAAGUCCCGNAACGAGCGCAACCCUUGCCAUUAGUUGCUACAUUUAGUUGGGCACUCUAAUGGGACUGCCGGUGACAAACCGGAGGAAGGUGGGGAUGACGUCAAGUCCUCAUGGCCCUUAUGGGUAGGGCUUCACACGUCAUACAAUGGUCGGGACAGAGGGUUGCCAAGCCGCGAGGUGGAGCCAAUCUCAGAAACCCGAUCGUAGUCCGGAUCGCAGUCUGCAACUCGACUGCGUGAAGUCGGAAUCGCUAGUAAUCGCGGAUCAGCAUGUCGCGGUGAAUACGUUCCCGGGUCUUGUACACACCGCCCGUCACACCAUGGGAGUGGGUUUCACCAGAAGUAGGUAGCCUAACCGUAAGGAGGGCGCUUACCACGGUGAGAUUCAUGACUGGGGUGAAGUCGUAACAAGGUAGGCGUAGUGCU
rnacentral:rRNA from 1 species